rnacentral:rRNA from 1 species
CCUACGGGGGGCAGCAGUGAGGAAUAUUGGUCAAUGGACGAGAGUCUGAACCAGCCAAGUAGCGUGAAGGAUGACUGCCCUAUGGGUUGUAAACUUCUUUUAUAUGGGAAUAAAAUGUUCCACGUGUGGGAUUUUGUAUGUACCAUAUGAAUAAGGAUCGGCUAACUCCGUGCCAGCAGCCGCGGUAAUACGGAGGAUCCGAGCGUUAUCCGGAUUUAUUGGGUUUAAAGGGAGCGUAGGUGGAUGGGUAAGUCAGUUGUGAAAGUUUGCGGCUCAACCGUAAAAUUGCAGUUGAAACUGGCAGUCUUGAGUACAGUAGAGGUGGGCGGAAUUCGUGGUGUAGCGGUGAAAUGCUUAGAUAUCACGAAGAACUCCGAUGGCGAAGGCAGCUUACUGGACUGCAACUGACACUGAGGCUCGAAAGUGUGGGUAUCAAACAGGAUUAGAUACCCCAGUAGUC